CUGCCUCCCCCCCCCCGCCACAUGGCGCGGGAGGAGCCGCCCGGCGGCGGGCGCAGGCGCCGCAGCGCUCGCUUCAGCGCCAUGGGCCGCGGGGGGUCGGCGGCGUUCCUCGGCGCUGUUGCUUGCCUUUGCUUCCUGGCCCCGGUGGCUGAGGGCUUCAAGAAGAGGGGACCCAGCGUGACAGCCAAGGUGUUCUUUGAUGUGAAGAUUGGAGACAAAGAUGUUGGCAGAAUUGUAAUUGGAUUGUUCGGAAAAGUUGUCCCAAAGACUGUGGAGAACUUCCUUGCGCUGGCAACUGGAGAAAGAGGAUAUGGAUACAAAGGAAGUAAAUUUCAUCGUGUGAUCAAAGACUUCAUGAUUCAAGGAGGAGACUUCACAGCUGGAGAUGGAUCAGGAGAUAGCUCUUUUCUGUCUGUGACUUGUCCCCAUUCAAGAAGCAUGGCUUUGCAUUGUGGGCUGGAGCCACUUGACCAGCGCAGCUGCUCCUACAACAUACUGUCUCCAAAAGACGGAUGUCUCCGCCCUUCCCCUGCUCUGACUUCGCAACAGCGCUCCUUCCCUGAGGCACUCAUUGACUGCAUGUAUACGUGAACAGUUUGAGUCAUCAGCAGAAAACAGUGAAAGCGUGUAGAGGGAAGGCAGGAAGAAGCAUCUAUGGAGAAAGGUUUCCAGAUGAGAACUUCAAGCUCAAACACUAUGGAAUUGGGUGGGUUAGCAUGGCUAAUUCUGGCCCAGACACCAACGGAUCCCAAUUCUUCAUUAGUGUGACAAAGCCUUCUUGGUUAGAUGGAAAACAUGUAGUAUUUGGCAAAGUCCUUGAUGGAAUG